rnacentral:rRNA from 1 species
UUUCCGGUUGAUCCCGCCGGACCCUACUGCUAUCGGGGUGGGACUAAGACGUGCAAGUCGUGCGUCUCUAAGCUAUGGUAGAGACGCGGCGUACGGCUCAGUAACACGUGGCUAACCUACCCUUAGGACGGAGACAACUCCGGGAAACUGGGGCUAAUACCCGAUAGGUGAAGAGGCCUGGAAUGGUUCUUCGCUGAAAGGACGUUGAAACCACGCUGUUCAACGUCGCCUAAGGAUGGGGCCGCGCCCGAUCAGGUUGUUGGUGAGGUAACGGCUCACCAAGCCUAUAACCGGUACGGGCCGUGAGAGCGGGAGCCCGGAGAUGGGCACUGAGACAAGGGCCCAGGCCCUACGGGGCGCAGCAGUCGCGAAAACUCCGCAAUGCGCGAAAGCGUGACGGGGCUACCCCGAGUGCCGUCCGCUGAGGAUGGCUUUUCCCCGGUGUAAUGAGUCGGGGGAAUAAGGAGAGGGCAAGUCUGGUGUCAGCCGCCGCGGUAAAACCAGCUCUCCGAGUGGUAGGGACAAUUAUUGGGCUUAAAGCGUCCGUAGCCGGCUUGGCAAGUCUCCUGUUAAAUUCAGCGACCUAAUCGUUGAGCCGCGGGAGAUACUACCAAGCUAGGAGGCGGGAGAGGCCAACAGUAUUCUCGGGGUAGGGGUGAAAUCCUAUAAUCCCGGGAGGACCACCAGUGGCGAAGGCUGUUGGCUAGAACGCGCUCAACGGUGAGGGACGAAAGCUGGGGGAGCGAACCGGAUUAGAUACCCGGGUAGUCCCAACUGUAAACGAUGCGGGCUAGGUGUUGGAGUGGCUACGAGCCACUUCAGUGCCGUAGGGAAGCCAUUAAGCCCGCCGCCUGGGGAGUACGGCCGCAAGGCUGAAACUUAAAGGAAUUGGCGGGGGAGCACCACAAGGCGUGAAGCUUGCGGUUCAAUUGGAUUCAACGCCGGGAA